UACGAAGGGAGCUAGCGUUGUUCGAAAUCACUGGGCGUAAAGCGCACGUAGGCGGAUGUGUCAGUCAGGGGUGAAAUCCCGGAGCUCAACUUCGGAACUGCCUUUGAUACAGCACGUCUUGAGUCCGAUAGAGGUGGGUGGAAUUCCUAGUGUAGAGGUGAAAUUCGUAGAUAUUAGGAGGAACACCGGUGGCGAAGGCGGCAUCCUGGACCGGUAUUGACGCUGAGGCGCGAAAGCCAGGGGAGCAAACGGG
rnacentral:rRNA from 1 species